GCGGCGGACGGGUGAGUAAUGCCUAGGAAUCUGCCUGGUAGUGGGGGAUAACGUUCCGAAAGGAACGCUAAUACCGCAUACGUCCUACGGGAGAAAGCAGGGGACCUUCGGGCCUUGCGCUAUCAGAUGAGCCUAGGUCGGAUUAGCUAGUUGGUGAGGUAAUGGCUCACCAAGGCGACGAUCCGUAACUGGUCUGAGAGGAUGAUCAGUCACACUGGAACUGAGACACGGUCCAGACUCCUACGGGAGGCAGCAGUGGGGAAUAUUGGACAAUGGGCGAAAGCCUGAUCCAGCCAUGCCGCGUGUGUGAAGAAGGUCUUCGGAUUGUAAAGCACUUUAAGUUGGGAGGAAGGGCAUUAACCUAAUACGUUAGUGUUUUGACGUUACCGACAGAAUAAGCACCGGCUAACUUCGUGCCAGCAGCCGCGGUAAUACGAAGGGUGCAAGCGUUAAUCGGAAUUACUGGGCGUAAAGCGCGCGUAGGUGGUUCGUUAAGUUGGA
rnacentral:rRNA from 1 species